UUAACUCUUUCAAAGCAUGAAACGUGACAUUUUGCCAUUUUUCGAAUUGUCUCUUUUUCUCAACACCUGACAGUCACCAAUCUGCCGAUGCGGUUGGAAAAAAAAAAGCCAUGAAAGUGACUGUCAACUCCUCAGUUUAGGAAGAGCAUGGGUGUUGUUAGGAAGACAAUUCAGCAGAGAUGGGAUGAUGCCACGCUGAUGCAACCACAGUUAGCAAAAAAAGGGAGUCUUUUUUUAAAGAAAAUCUUCAUCUUUACAAAUAUGAUGGGUGAUCUUUAUAAACCGAAUAUACAAAACUACGACUAUAUUACUGUUUAUAACAAUUGAAUAUCAAAGUGAUGUUUAAAGAGCAAAUAUCUGACAUCAAAACAACAGUAUUGCUAACGAGCCAACUAUUUAACACUGAAAAACGAGUUCAGACUCUAUGUUUAAUACAUUCAGCUAACAGCAUCCAGACACUGAAAAGACAAUUCACAAUUUUAAAAUAUAUAUCAGGGAUUCUUAAGCGUAAUAUGAAAGUUUAGCAAUAAAAAGUAAAAAAAAAAAGCCCCAAACAAAAGCAGGAAAAAACUUUUCUUUUCCCAUUAAAUAAACUGUUCAGUUAAUUACUUUAAUUUCCUCAGUGUCACUGAAUUAAGCUCUAAAGGGUUACCAUUGUCAAACUGGGGUUCUCCUCCUUUAAAUCUGAGUUACUGACAAUAAAACUGUUAAAAAUGAUACCACGUUUAAAAAAAUACAGCAAUCCAAGCGAGAUAGGGUCACUUGAGUCAUUAUUUGAAAAUAGUUACUUUUGUAAAACGUUCAGCAAUCAUGAAUCAUAAAUCAAGACAAAAUGAAGCUCAUAAGUGCACAAUAAGCAUUUAUUGUGUGAAUACCUCACAGGCAUUCGCAUUAUUGAGUUCCUGUUUCUCUUUAUUCUUUAUACUUUAUUCUAGUUGCCCCAUGAUUCUUCGCCGUGGAAGUACUUCCACAGUUUUUUAUCCGAUUUUCGCCAUUCAAACUUUAAAAAAUUCUGCUCUUUCUGCUAAUGCCCGCUCUGGCUUUU
ensembl:lncRNA